rnacentral:tRNA from 1 species
AAGUUAAAGCCCAGGUAUGUCUUGAAAACAUAAAUUAAAAUUAAAUUUUUAUUAACUUU